CUAUUGCUUCCUGAUGAACAAACAAUCAAUGCAUAGUUCAUCUGAGACCUCGGUCCAUGAAUGAUACAAAUUCAGCAAUGUCUUUCGCUCCUAUCUGAUCUGCAAACU
rfam:Rhynchosporium commune strain TK7 genome assembly, contig: RCO7_scaffold025